rnacentral:miRNA from 1 species
UAUUAGGUUUGUGCAAAAGUAAUUGCGGUUUUUGCUGUUACUUUUAAUGGCAAAAACUGCAAUUACUUUUGCACCAGCCUAAUA